CAGCCGCCGCGGGAAUACGAAGGGGGCUAGCGUUGCUCGGAAUCACUGGGCGUAAAGGGUGCGUAGGCGGGUCUUUAAGUCUGGGGUGAAAUCCUGGAGCUCAACUCCAGAACUGCCUUUGAUACUGAAGAUCUUGAGUUCGGGAGAGGUGAGUGGAACUGCGAGUGUAGAGGUGAAAUUCGUAGAUAUUCGCAAGAACACCAGUGGCGAAGGCGGCUCACUGGCCCGAUACUGACGCUGAGGCACGAAAGCGUGGGGAGCGAACAGGAUUAGAGACCCCGGUAGUCCCUGUCUCUUAUAC
rnacentral:rRNA from 1 species